rnacentral:piRNA from 1 species
UUGCAAGUUUUGUCCGAAUAG